rnacentral:pre_miRNA from 1 species
GUACUACUCCCUCCGUCCCAAAAUUCUUGUCUUAAAUUUGUCUAAAUACGGAUGUAUCUAGUUACAUUUUAGUGUUAGAUACAUCCGUAUCUAAACAAAUGUAAGACAAGAAUUUUGGGACGGAGGGAAUACUUG